CCCUUAGAUGUUCUGGGCUGCACACGUGCUACACUGGCAGGUUCAGCGAGCUUCAUGCCCUGAUCUGAAAGGAAUGGGAAAUCUUUUCAAAACCUGCCGUGCUUGGGAUAGAUGUUUGCAAUUAUUCAUCUUCAACGAGGAUUGCCUUGCAAGCGCACGUCACCAGCGUGCAUUGAAUACGACCCUGUAUUCUGUACACACCGCCCGUCGCUCCUACCGAUUGAAGUUUUCGGUGAGUUGACAGGAGGAUUUUUUUGAAACUGGUUCGCCAGUGGAUUUUAGAUCCAAAUGCCAACGAAUCGAUGGCUUUAGAGGAAGGAGAAGUCGUAACA
rnacentral:rRNA from 1 species